rnacentral:rRNA from 1 species
GCUCAGGAUGAACGCUAGCUACAGGCUUAACACAUGCAAGUCGAGGGGCAGCAUGGUCUUAGCUUGCUAAGGCCGAUGGCGACCGGCGCACGGGUGAGUAACACGUAUCCAACCUGCCGUCUACUCUUGGACAGCCUUCUGAAAGGAAGAUUAAUACAAGAUGGCAUCAUGAGUCCGCAUGUUCACAUGAUUAAAGGUAUUCCGGUAGACGAUGGGGAUGCGUUCCAUUAGAUAGUAGGCGGGGUAACGGCCCACCUAGUCUUCGAUGGAUAGGGGUUCUGAGAGGAAGGUCCCCCACAUUGGAACUGAGACACGGUCCAAACUCCUACGGGAGGCAGCAGUGAGGAAUAUUGGUCAAUGGGCGAGAGCCUGAACCAGCCAAGUAGCGUGAAGGAUGACUGCCCUAUGGGUUGUAAACUUCUUUUAUAAAGGAAUAAAGUCGGGUAUGGAUACCCGUUUGCAUGUACUUUAUGAAUAAGGAUCGGCUAACUCCGUGCCAGCAGCCGCGGUAAUACGGAGGAUCCGAGCGUUAUCCGGAUUUAUUGGGUUUAAAGGGAGCGUAGAUGGAUGUUUAAGUCAGUUGUGAAAGUUUGCGGCUCAACCGUAAAAUUGCAGUUGAUACUGGAUAUCUUGAGUGCAGUUGAGGCAGGCGGAAUUCGUGGUGUAGCGGUGAAAUGCUUAGAUAUCACGAAGAACUCCGAUUGCGAAGGCAGCCUGCUAAGCUGCAACUGACAUUGAGGCUCGAAAGUGUGGGUAUCAAACAGGAUUAGAUACCCUGGUAGUCCACACGGUAAACGAUGAAUACUCGCUGUUUGCGAUAUACGGCAAGCGGCCAAGCGAAAGCGUUAAGUAUUCCACCUGGGGAGUACGCCGGCAACGGUGAAACUCAAAGGAAUUGACGGGGGCCCGCACAAGCGGAGGAACAUGUGGUUUAAUUCGAUGAUACGCGAGGAACCUUACCCGGGCUUAAAUUGCAGAUGAAUUACGGUGAAAGCCGUAAGCCGCAAGGCAUCUGUGAAGGUGCUGCAUGGUUGUCGUCAGCUCGUGCCGUGAGGUGUCGGCUUAAGUGCCAUAACGAGCGCAACCCUUGUUGUCAGUUACUAACAGGUUAUGCUGAGGACUCUGACAAGACUGCCAUCGUAAGAUGUGAGGAAGGUGGGGAUGACGUCAAAUCAGCACGGCCCUUACGUCCGGGGCUACACACGUGUUACAAUGGGGGGUACAGAGGGCCGCUACCACGCGAGUGGAUGCCAAUCCCCAAAACCUCUCUCAGUUCGGACUGGAGUCUGCAACCCGACUCCACGAAGCUGGAUUCGCUAGUAAUCGCGCAUCAGCCACGGCGCGGUGAAUACGUUCCCGGGCCUUGUACACACCGCCCGUCAAGCCAUGGGAGCCGGGGGUACCUGAAGUGCGUAACCGCGAGGAGCGCCCUAGGGUAAAACUGGUGACUGCAGC